AGCAGAAUUUCUAGUGUAGAGGUGAAAUUCGUAGAUAUUAGAAAGAAUACCAAUUGCGAAGGCAGCUUUCUGGAUCAUUACUGACACUGAGGAACGAAAGCAUGGGUAGCGAAGAGGAUUAGAUACCCUCGUAGUCCAUGCCGUAAACGAUGUGUGUUAGACGUUGGAAAUUUAUUUUCAGUGUCGCAGGGAAACCGAUAAACACACCGCCUGGGGAGUACGACCGCAAGGUUAAAACUCAAAUGAAUUGACGGGGACCCGCACAAGUAGUGGAGCAUGUGGUUUAAUUCGAAGAUACGCGCAGAACCUUACCAACACUUGACAUGUUCGUCGCGACUCUAAGAGAUUAGAGUUUUCGGUUCGGCCGGACGAAACACAGGUGCUGCAUGGCUGUCGUCAGCUCGUGUCGUGAGAUGUUGGGUUAAGUCCGGCAACGAGCGCAACCCACAUCCCUAGUUGCCAGCAGUUCGGCUGGGCACUCUAUGGAAACUGCCCGUGAUAAGCGGGAGGAAGGUGUGGAUGACGUCAAGUCCUCAUGGCCCUUACGGGUUGGGCUACACACGUGCUACAAUGGUAGUGACAAUGGGUUAAUCCCAAAAAGCUAUCUCAGUUCGGAUUGGGGUCUGCAACCCGACCCCAUGAAGUCGGAAUCGCUAGUAAUCGCGUAACAGCAUGACGCGGUGAAUACGUUCCCGGGCCUUGUACACACCGCCCGUCACACCAUGGGAGUUGGUUCUACCCGACGGCCGUGCGCUAACCUUUUGGAGGCAGCGGACCACGGUAGGAUCAGCGACUGGGGUGAAGUCGUAACAAGGUAGCC
rnacentral:rRNA from 1 species